UCCGGCGUAGCUCAGUGGUAGAGUGGGUGGCUGUUAACCACUUGGUCGUAGGUUCGAAUCCUACCGCCGGAGCCA
rnacentral:tRNA from 1 species